GAGACAAAGUAGCUUGUCGCUGCGCUAAGGUUUCAAGGCGGAGAGGAAAGUCCGGGCAACGUAGAGCACCAUACUUCCUAACGGGAAGCUGCCUGUCCUUUCAUGCGUGAUAGAGAAAAAGGCAGACUAAUGCAACAGAAAAGAACCGCCAUUGGAGUCUCGACUUUAACGGUAAGGGUGAAAAGGUGAGGUAAGAGCUCACCGGAGGCAUAGUGAUAUGUCUCGUCCAUGUAUGUUAUGGGUUGUAAGAUCAUGUAUACCGACGUCUAAGUGUUGCUCGCACAAUGUCGGGGGGUAGAUCGCUAGAGAUUGCAGGCGACUGCAAUAGUAGAUAAAUGACAAGCACCUGAUCUUCGGAGAGGGCACAGAACCCGGCUUAUAGCUUUGUCUCUUUC
rfam:Porphyromonas sp. COT-108_OH1349 contig_13, whole genome shotgun sequence.